AUGAACAUGAAGAUAUCUGCUAUAUUAUUGGGGCUUAUGAUGCUCUGGUUCACAAGUGCCAGAUGUGACAUUCAGGUUACCCAGUCUCCAUCCUCCCUGUCUGCAUCUCUGGGACACAGAGUCACCAUCACUUGUAGAGCAAGUGAAGAUAUUAAAAAUUAUAUGGUUUGGUACCAACAGAAACCAGGGAAAGUUCCAAAGCUCCUAAUCUACUAUGCAUCCACUUUGCAAUCAGGGGUUUCCUCCAGGUUCAGUGGCAGUGGGUCAGGGACAGAUUUUUCCUUUACUCUCAGCAGCCUGAAGCCUGAAGAUAUUGCAACUUAUUACUGCCAACAUGUUUAUUCCACAGCACACACAUGGAAAGUAGAAGACAAGUCUUAA